AAUCAACGCUGGCGGCGUGCCUCAGACAUGCAAGUCGAACGCGAAAGUUUCCUUCGGGAGCGAGUAGAGUGGCGUCCGGGUGAGUAACACGUAGGUAAUCUACCUUUGGGUGGGGAAUAACAACCGGAAACGGUUGCUAAUACCGCAUAAUGCAGCGGCACCACAUGGUGACAGUUGUUAAAGCGGGGGAUCGCAAGACCUCGCGCCUAAAGAGAGCCUGCGGCGGAUUAGCUAGNGGUAAGGUAACGGCUUACCAAGGCAACGAUCCGUAGCCGGCCUGANAGGGCGGUCGGGCCACACUGACACUGAAAUACGGGUCAGACUCCUACGGGAGGCAGCAGUCGGGAAUUUUGGGCAAUGGGCGAAAGCCUGACCCAGCAACG
rnacentral:rRNA from 1 species